UCCAGAGAAGCAGCCUUUGUUCCUCAGUUCAUCGCAACACUCAGCCUGUCAGUCAGGUUGUGGGAUCCCUCCUAUCCAGGAACUGUAUGCUGUUGUCCCGGUUCUGACACUUUCCCUCUGAGUCCUUGGACACCUUACCUAACCUCUUGGAAGCUCCUGUCUGUGAAGGGUGUGCACAGAGAGCUUCGGUAGCCUGCGAAGCAGCCAUUUUCACUUCCACGGAGCAGAUGCUGGCCUGGGUGCUGGAAUAUGGAAAUGAGGAAGAUCCUGCCUGAGGAUUUCAUGACAGUGCUGCGAUUACCGACGUGAGCCACUGUGCCCAGCCUCACUUUAAAAAAAAAAAAAGGUUAUGAAGCAUCUCAACACAAGACCUCCUUUGCUCAUCACAACCACCCAGUGAAGCAGGCAAGACAACAGAAACUCCCCACCUGUGAUAGAUGUGAGGCCUGAAGUCUCCCACAUACCCACGGCAGAUGCAACGCACAGCGGUGACCAAUGGUGAAGGAUCUAAAACCUGAAAAGAGGCCAAAUGAUUCCUCAAAACCACGCAAGUACGAAGUAGCAGAGCGGAUCUCAAAUCCAGGUUGCCCUGCUGAUGUCAUGCCUGACCAUAUGACUUGCUCCAGCCAAUGAAAUGUAAGCAGAAGUGACAUAUGCAGCAUGACCAGUGGAAGCUUCGAAGAGCUAUUGCCAAUUUCCACCCUCUCUCUGGAAACUGUCAUUAGGGUUAGGGAAACUGUCAUGAGAUCUGCAUAUUUUAGAUAGAGGCUGCUUGCCUUAUUUGGGCACCUAAUGAAAAAGACAUGGAGGCCAGGUGCGGUGGCUCAUGUCUGUAAUCCCAGCACUUUGGGAGGCCAAGGCGAGUGGAUCACCUGAGGUCAGGAGUUCGAGACCAGCCUGACCAACAUGGCAAAACCCCGUCUGUACUAAAAGUGCAAACACAAAGGGAACUGCGUGGCUUGUUUCUACCUGAACAUUGUCAAGUGAUUUCAUCCUUUGAAACACAGUUGUGAAGUGUGUCCAGCAGUCUGAGAACAAGAAGAAGAAGAAAAUCUAAUCCUUCAGGGUGUCUGUGUGCCAGCCCUGCUCUCAGCACUUCCCAUGUGGAACUCCUUUACUUCUCCUAACAACUCCAUGACAUGGGUUAGACUGUGAUUGUUCCCAUAUUGUUGGUAGGGAAACUGAGGCAUGCAGGUGUUACAGAGCUCUCUCAAGUGGCAAGCUUUCUGGGUGGUUACAGAGUGGCAGAGCUGGGGUAUCCCAUGAUGUCACCACACUGCUAUAUGGAAAAGAACAUUAAUCGAGCACCUACGUGCUUGAUUCUCUUAAUUCUGUGACUGAACUCUCAAAACACCCUGGGUUGGUUUCCUUUUUACAACUGCCCAAGUCAUGAGUUCAUAGGGCCUGGAUGGCUGUACCGGAUUGCUCUCCAGCUGGUCUCUCUGCAUCCAGAAAUUUCUACAACCUACUGGGGUAAAAUCUUUCUCAACCCUGCUUUUCAUCAUCACAUCUUAAAUAUCUCGAGUUGGUUCCCUAUUGCCAAAAAAAAUCCAUUGUCCAUGUAGGGUUCUUCUGCCGAAACGAGGAAAGAGUGAGUUAAAUGUUGGUAGGUGAUAUAGAGAUAGUAAUUAGGCAAUAUAAUUCGAUGUUGUUGAAAGAGCUGAGCUAUGAAAUGCAUUGUGAUAAAGGGGCUGCCUGUGUAAGUAAAUGGGUAUAAUGAGGUGUAAAACUCCCUUUCUCUCUCUCUUUCUGCUUCAUAAGCCUUUCUGCUUCUCAAGUCCAGACCUGCUGUUUUUGGGGUUUCCUUCCAAUUUUUUUGCUGCUUCCCUGGGGCCUUGGCUCUUGGGCCUGCUGCCUCUUCCCACUCUACACCUUUGGAUUCCUUAUCUUUGGCUCCACCUUAUUGCUCCAUUCUCCAAAGACAAAUCCACAAGGCAUAGGAUUUUACAGAAUAUGGGGUUACAGAAACAGCAUAGGGAAGUGUAAAAGCCUAGAAGCUUCUUACAGACGCAGCCCCUUGUCUGUAGCUCCUGACUCCCACUUAAAUGUCUGUUGGAAGCACCCUGGGGUAGCAGAACCCAGCUCAGAAGAUGGGGCUUAUCCACCAUGCCUUUUCCUAACCUGACACCCACCCAGAUAAUCUUUUCAAUAUGCAAACUAGAGCGUAUCACCCCCUGCUCAGAGCCUUUCUGUGACCUCCCAUUUUGCUUCCCAGGACUCCUUGCUCCUUAGCCAGGUCUCCAGGUCCUCCGUGAUCAGGUCUCUGCUCUUCUGCAGCCUCAUCUCUGCCAUUCUUCACCUUUUGUGCUCCAACCCAAUCUGGUUUUCUUCUCAUGCUUUGAACACCCCAAGUCUGUCUGCUUCAGGAGCUUCGUACUGGCUAAUCAUUCACCACAGCAUACUCCCAUCUAUACGGCUGGCUCUUAUAUUAUGGGUCUCAGCUAAAAUGUCAUCCCUUCAAAGAGACCUUCUUGGACCACCCCCGCCAUUCUCUAUCCUAUUUCUCUCUUUUAUUUUCUUUGAAGCACUUACCCACUUUCAGAAACUAUCUGGCUUGCUCAUGUGUUUGUCUCUAGAUUGUCUACUUCCCCUCCUAGACUGUACUCUCCACAAGAGAGCAAAGCUGUGUCUGUUGCAUUCACUGUUGUCUUCCCAGAAGCAAGCAGCAUGCUGGAGACCCUCAAAUACAUGUGAAAUGAAGGGACACCUUGUGUUAUUUCACCUGUUUCCACCUGGUUCCCAAGUGGCAAGCUUGCAUUGAGGUUACAAAGUGGCAAAGCUGGGAUAUCACAUGAUGUCACCAUGAUGCUAUAUGAAAUGUAACAUUAAUUGAGUACCUAUGUGACCAGUUCUUUAAUUCUGUAAGUGAACUCUCAAAAAACCCUAGGUAAGUAUUAUCAACUCGAACUUUAACGGAUGAGGAAACUGGAAUUUUUUAAAAAAUGACUUAACCAAACAUCACAGAGCUGUAAACCAGGAUUUGAAUGGGUGAGCUGCACUCAGCCUUCAUCUCAAGUCAGUUUGCCUCUUUCUCCAAGAAGCCACAGUUGAUCCUGACCACAUCACAUAUGAGUUGCCUGGAUUGCAGUCAUUCAUUCACUAAGCAUCUUUUAGGAGGUCACAUGCCAGGCACCGUGUUAGGUAAUGAUUUCUCCAAGUCACAGGAGCCGUGGUUCUGACUUUAGAAAGUUUCUCAUCUGAUGGGAGGGCAGGCAAGUAAAUCAGUAAGGGUGGUCCCUGUCGGGACACUGGUUGAGAAAUACCCAGGAACACUCUGAUUGAGAAAUACCCAAAGUGCAAAGUGACAGGGACUAGAGGCAUCUCCACUGGACCAGAGAGCUCUGGAUUCGUCUUGAGCUAAGUCUCUGGAGGUAGGUGUCAGCUACAAGGAGAAAAGCUGUAUAUUUUGAGAUAUGGGAUGCAGGGCCUUUUAGUUCCAUAAAUAAGAGAACUAUGGUGUGAAUACCACAUGCCCUGGGCUGAACUAAGUGGGCUCUAGGGGAAGGUAUACUGGGCAGGGAGUUUGGAGAACUGGUUUCUGUCUAAUCCUUCUCUAACUCUGUGACCUUGAAUGCAUCAUUUCCCCUCUGAGUCUCAGAUUCUCUUUCUGGCUGGCAUUUAAUGAAACCUAAAUAUUCUAGACCUUCUACUUGUUCCAUAAGUGCUCAGUCCUACACUCACUCUCCUCUGGCACCAAUAUACUGAUUACUCAUUUUAUGCCCAGCAGAGCACUGCGUGUUUUGAAAUAUACAAAUAGUGGGAAACGAAAUCUUUGUUCUGGAUGCAGUUAUAAUUUGGAAAGCGAGGAAAUAAAUUAUAACAAGGGGAAAAAACAGACACAGAGGGAUUGAAAUGCAUAACAAUAGAGAUGAAACACGAAGAGUGAUAAAUGAAGAUUGAGUGUGCACACCUUCUGGAGGAGCCCUGAUUGAGUAUUUUAACACAGAAGUGGGUGAGAGCAAAGUUGUGUCAGAGUAAGACAAUGACACCAAGCCAGAUGGUUAUCAAAAUCCACAGGAACAAAUGAAGAGAACCAGAAAUUGCAAAUAAGAAGGACAGAGUACCAGAGAGGAGAGAGAGGUACAGAGAAUUAUGGAGGUGGCUUCCGUUGAGUAUGCAGCUAAGUAAUGAUUAAUGCAUACAUAUAAGAAACUACUGGAUGACAGAGAAAGAACCACAAGCAAUUUAAAGAAUACUACUAAAGUCAUGCCGUGUGACUUCUGAAGCUAGCUCCUAAGAAGUCCUUGCAGCUUCUGCCUGCGACUCUUAGAACACUUGCUUUGAAGGAUGCCAGAUGCUGUCUUAAAAGUCUGAGCACUCUGAAACCAUCAUGCUGUGAGGAAGCCCAAGCUAACCACAUGGGCAAAAAAGAUGCCCUCUGACUGCCACCAUUUGAGACACUCUAAUUAAGAACUGCCUCAUUGAGCCCAUGAGGCCCUGUGAAUGAUAAUAAUAAAUUGUUUUUAACCACUAUGUUUUUGGAUUUGUUAUAAGUUUAUAGAUAACAAGAAAAAGUUAUAUUAGCAUGGUAAUAAAAUUAUGGAUAUGUGUAAGUUUGGUGUUUUGUUUCUUUUUUUUUUUUACACUAAGCCUAUAUUACUGUUGUAAUUUAGGAAAUCACUUGUUUUCCUCCAGCACUUCAAUGUAAGAGUGGCACUACUUAGAAUGUACUUCUUAAGAUAUGGCU
rnacentral:lncRNA from 1 species